rnacentral:rRNA from 1 species
UACAGAGGUCUCAAGCGUUGUUCGGAUUCAUUGGGCGUAAAGGGUGUGUAGGUGGCGCGCUAAGUCGGGUGUGAAAUCUCGGAGCUCAACUCCGAAACUGCACUUGAUACUGCCUUGCUGGAGUACUGGAGAGGAGAUUGGAAUUUACGGUGUAGCAGUGAAAUGCGUAGAUAUCGUAAGGAAGACCAGUGGCGAAGGCGAAUCUCUGGACAGUUACUGACACUGAGGCACGAAGGCCAGGGGAGCAAACGGG